rnacentral:rRNA from 1 species
GAUGAACGCUGGCGGCGUGCCUAAUACAUGCAAGUCGAGCGAACGGACGAGAAGCUUGCUUUUCUGAUGUUAGCGGCGGACGGGUGAGUAACACGUGGAUAACCUACCUAUAAGACUGGGAUAACUUCGGGAAACCGGAGCUAAUACCGGAUAAUAUUUUGAACCGCAUGGUUCAAAAGUGAAAGACGGUCUUGCUGUCACUUAUAGAUGGAUCCGCGCUGCAUUAGCUAGUUGGUAAGGUAACGGCUUACCAAGGCAACGAUGCAUAGCGGACCUGAGAGGGUGAUCGGCCACACUGGAACUGAGACACGGUCCAGACUCCUACGGGAGGCAGCAGUAGGGAAUCUUCCGCAAUGGGCUAAAGCCUGACGGAGCAACGCCGCGUGAGUGAUGAAGGUCUUCGGAUCGUAAAACUCUGUUAUUAGGGAAGAACAUAUGUGUAAGUAACUGUGCACAUCUUGACGGUACCUAAUCAGAAAGCCACGGCUAACUACGUG